rnacentral:rRNA from 1 species
UCAGAACGAACGCUGGCGGCAGGCUUAACACAUGCAAGUCGAGCGCCCCGCAAGGGGAGCGGCAGACGGGUGAGUAACGCGUGGGAAUCUACCCUUUUCUACGGAAUAACGCAUGGAAACGUGUGCUAAUACCGUAUGAGCCCUUCGGGGGAAAGAUUUAUCGGGAAAGGAUGAGCCCGCGUUGGAUUAGCUAGUUGGUGGGGUAAAGGCCUACCAAGGCGACGAUCCAUAGCUGGUCUGAGAGGAUGAUCAGCCACAUUGGGACUGAGACACGGCCCAAACUCCUACGGGAGGCAGCAGUGGGGAAUAUUGGACAAUGGGCGCAAGCCUGAUCCAGCCAUGCCGCGUGAGUGAUGAAGGCCCUAGGGUUGUAAAGCUCUUUCACCGGUGAAGAUAAUG